rnacentral:rRNA from 1 species
GACGAACGCUGGCGGCGUGCUUAACACAUGCAAGUCGAGCGGAGCGGCGGACGGGUGAGUAAUGCCUAGGAAUCUGCCUGGUAGUGGGGGACCACGUCCGGAAACGGGCGCUAAUACAGCAUACUAUCAGAUGAGCCUCGGUGGGAUUAGCUAGUUGGUGGGGUAAAGGCUUACCAAGGCGACGAUCCGUAACUGGUCUGAGGGGAUGAUCAGUCACACUGGAACUGAGACACGGUCCAGACUCCUACGGGAGGCAGCAGUGGGGAAUAUUGGGCAAUGGGCGAAAGCCUGAUCCAGCCAUGCCGCGUGUGUGAAGAAGGUCUUCGGAUUGUAAAGCACUUUAAGUUGGGAAGCGUUACCAACAGAAUAAGCACCGGCUAACUUCGUGCCAGCAGCCGCGGUAAUUC